rnacentral:tRNA from 1 species
UCCAGGGUAGCCUAGUGACAUGGCAUCUGCCCGGUAAGCGUGUGGGUUCGAUUCCCAUCCCUGGAC